GGGCAUUUGGUCUAGGGGUAUGAUUUUCGCUUUGCAUUUUCUUCACAGAGUUGCACCUUGUGAAAGGUCAUCGGUUCGAAUCCGGUACUGUCCA